UUCUGCGAUUCAAAGAAAGAAACAUGAUUCAAACAGAGAUGAGACCAGUCAAACCAAGGAUUAGAAACUUUUUUUCUUUUUGACUAAAAUGUCUGAUUAAACAGAGACAAGAAAAGAUUAUUUGGUAUAAAAAGAAGGGGGAAACAAUAAAAUAGAGAAGAAAGACUGGAAGAGAAAGAUUGAUAGAAGAAAACCUGGCUGAGAUUGGAUUAGUGGUCUUAGAUUUUGAAGAUUGUUUGAAUUCGCUGCAAUGUUGGGUCUUCAGAUCUUAACCAUCUCCUCCCUUCUUUUUUUUUUUUUUUUGGUUUCUUUGUUUAUUGGAUUGGGUUGGAUAUAAAAAUGUAUUGGGUUUUUGGCUGUAGGCUCAGGAUUGGACUAAGGGAUUAGAUUGGGCUGAGUUAAUGGGUCGAGGUUCUUAAAUAUGGUUCGAGUUUAGGGUUAUAAGGAAUGUGUUGGUCCUGAGGGGUUCAUGUGAUACGCUGUAUAACCCUUUUCACUUCUUUACGCUGGUUUUAUCCUUCACUAUUGAAGGAAUAACUAUGACGAUGACGAUGAUAUUCAGAGUCAACAGUAAAGACAAAGCAGCGGCAGCAGCCAAUGAACUGACUGGGUUUCGCUGUGACAUUGAGAAGUAACGCAAUGGAGGUCACGAUGGUUUCUGGUGGCUGGUUCUGGAUUGUAGAAGAGGCAGUGAAGGUGUGACUUGAUGGUGACAGAUCACAAGUUUGC